AUUGAACGCUGGCGGCAUGCUUUACACAUGCAAGUCGAACGGCAGCACGGGCUUCGGCCUGGUGGCGAGUGGCGAACGGGUGAGUAAUGCAUCGGAACGUACCGUGUAGUGGGGGAUAACGUAGCGAAAGUUACGCUAAUACCGCAUACGCCCCGAGGGGGAAAGUGGGGGACCGCAAGGCCUCACGCUAUAUGAGCGGCCGAUGUCGGAUUAGCUAGUUGGUAGGGUAAAGGCCUACCAAGGCGACGAUCCGUAGCGGGUCUGAGAGGAUGAUCCGCCACACUGGGACUGAGACACGGCCCAGACUCCUACGGGAGGCAGCAGUCGGGAAUAUUGGACAAUGGGGGCAACCCUGAUCCAGCAAUACCGCGUGUGUGAAGAAGGCCUGCGGGUUGUAAAGCACUUUUAGUAGGGAAGAUAAUGACGUUACCUACAGAAAAAGCACCGGCUAACUCCGUGCCAGCAGCCCGCGGUAAGGUGACGCUCU
rnacentral:rRNA from 1 species